GUCAGAUUUAAUUGGACCGAAUGUGAUUGGACCUCCUGGAGCGUGGAGCCAAUGAACGGGUUAAUGCGCUUUGACGCAGGGAUGGUCAACAGGAGGCUGCGGGUCGCAGGUGGGAGUCCUGCGGUCUGAUGAGCAGCAGCAGAGGAGCCGCUGACUGCCGGAGCUGAAACAUCUUCUCUCCUCCUGGAGCUGAAACAUCUGAUCAUCUAUUGCUCUCCGCUGGCAGGAACCCUCACCGAGCCUCCGGGCAUGCUGCGUCCGCCUGCCUGCGCCGCUAAACGGGACGCCGGGGAACAGCCGCCGCGGUCGGUCUGUGGAUGAAUGACUUGAGAAACUCCCGUGGAAGUGAGCGGACAGCGACAGCGGCUGUAUGGAUGUGACCGGGAAACAGCAACCCGAGCUGAUCGAGCGACCCGCCAGCCUCCCGGUUCCAACUUCGGGGAAAAUCCAACACAAACUGCUGAUGUGCCAUUUGUUAACUCAGAAUCCAGCACAGUCUCUUCUGGAACAAGGGAAACCAAAUUUUCCAUGCCUCGUUUUCAUCUGAACAUAUUUGUCAUAUGUACUGCUCACAGGUUUCCAUGGAGACCUCUCUGUACCCCUCAGGCUGCAGGUCCUGGGUCUUCAAACUGUGCCAGCCUUGGAUCCCAGCAACAGACAAGCUUCAUCAGUAGGGUGGCUGCUGGCCUGAGCAUUAGAGGGGUGUUAUGGAGGUCUACCAACCAGAGCGUCCUCCAUCUAGUCAGGAGAUCUGGAUCCUGCUCUGGGACCUGUUUGAAGUGAACCAGUUCAAGUGUCUUAAUGUCUGAGAGAUGGCAGGAUGGAUCAGUACUUUGUCUGCAGUGAUGAAGAUUGUCAGUUUACUGGCCCAUUUACACUCAGAACCACUUUAUUAGGUACUGAUUGCUGGUACCUGGUUGGUGCAAGCUUUACCCUCAGAACAUCCUUAUGUGCCAGAGACAUUUUGGUGAUUGGAGGUCAGCGACUGAACCUCGGGAUCAAGAAACUAAUCUGAGAUCAUCUCAGCUUUGAUACAUGGAGCUGAUGGAUUCCUACUGGAAGGAACCAUCAGAAGAUGGGUUCAGUGUGGUCACAAAGUGAUGGAGAUGGUAAGCAGCAAUAUUCAGGUAGGCUGUGUUGGUUAAAUGGUGCUCAGGUGGUACUGUAGAACAUCUGACCUGAGGCUUCACAUGUUUAACGUCCUGAGAUGGUGUUCUGCAGACCUUGGUUGGAACCAGUGGUCAUUGGAACUACUGUUCCUUUCAUCAUCUGGAGAAUAUUCUGCCAGCUGUGAUCAUUCUCUGUAUAUCACAGAAUUGGUUGUGUAUGAAAUCCCAGCAGAUCAGCAGGUUCUGGAAUACUCGCACCAGCCUGUUUGGUGCCAACAACCAUGCUAUGUUCAGUGUCCCAUACAUUGCCCUUCUUCCUCAUUCUGAUGCUCAGUUUGAACAGUUAAGAUCAGGUCAUGUCAAGAUGUACCAGUAUGAGAUAAUGACACAUUUAAUACCUUAAGACGAACCAAAUUAUCCUUCGAAUGAGCCAAACCAUUUAAAGUCAGAACCGUCCUGUUCUUCAGCCAGCUCCUUCGGAUCCACCUGAGGGAUUCACACCUGCAGAUAAACUGGAUGCAAUGACUUUGUUGGUGAACUGGGUGGAUUUCUUAAAUGGUUGCUAAUGAUUAAAUGUCAGUGCAGUGAUCAGAAGAAGUGUUGUUGAACAGUCUGCAGCAGACAGGGAUGUUCCAGCUCUCUGCCUACAGAAUGUGUUGAGUUCUGUUUGAGUUCUACAUCAGGGUCUAUUAAUGCUGUGAUGGACAGCAACAGUGAUGUAGUUGUUUCUUUUCCUGUCUCUGCAAGCUGGGAAAGAGUCCAGCUCUGAUGUAGCUGAAGCAAGAAAUUUGUUUGUUCAGACAAGUUGUGUCUGAAAGAGACUUGUUUUACAGAAGAAAAUCGAUGUUUUAGCUGUGACAGACCUCAGAUACUGGGGUAGAAAAUAAAGAUUGUCAACAUUUAAA